GGUGGCCUUCUACGCUCAAAACCAUGGGAGGAUUGGGAAAAUAUAAUGAACAGCAAAAUCUGGAAUUUACAAGACGAUGUCAACAACAUUCUUCCUGUGUUAAAAUUAAGCUACUAUCAUCUCCCUUCCCAUUUAAAGAGGUGUUUCGCAUAUUGUGCAAUAUUCCCCAAGGAUUAUGUAUUUGAAAAGAAACAACUAGUCCUUCUAUGGAUGGCA
rnacentral:misc_RNA from 1 species